ACACCGUUGGUGAAGUGGUUAUCAUGCUUGCCUUCCAUCCAUCUGGGCUUUUGAAGCUUUUGAAGGACAGCAAGCGGCUCGGGUUCGAUUCCCGAACGGUGUA
rfam:Gymnopus luxurians FD-317 M1 unplaced genomic scaffold GYMLTscaffold_159, whole genome shotgun sequence.